GACAGAGGUGCCGAGCGUUAGGCGGAAUCACUGGGCUUAAAGCGCGUGUAGGUGGCGGCCUAAGUACCUUGUGAAAUCCUGCGGCUCAACCGCAGAACUGCUUGGUAUACUGGGUCGCUUGAGUCAUCCAGGGGCAACUGGAACAAGCGGUGGAGCGGUGAAAUGCGUAGAUAUCGCUUGGAACGCCAAAGGUGAAAACAGGUUGCUGGGGAUGUUCUGACACUGAGACGCGAAAGCCAGGGGAGCAAACGGG
rnacentral:rRNA from 1 species